UCUUGUUCCCUGCACCCUUGUACGCAGGGGGCUGCGGCCCUCUCCCUCCCCUCUCCGUGGGUGCAUGCAUGCUGGAACAGUAGCAGAAAGGGAAAAAAAAGGUGUGAGCCACCAUUUUAGGCAGCCAACAUAAAAUGGCCGAUGCUCGCUUGUGGCUGCAGCCACCCCACCUCUCUGCCUGCGGUUCCAUAUCCCACCCAUGCCCCCACGUCCCACGAUGGCCCCACACCCCACUCGUGCCCCCUGUGCUCACCCUAGCCUUGCUCACCCACAUUUGCCCUUUCCCACCCAUGGUGUUCACUCCAGCAUCACCCCCAGAUCCUCUCCUUUGGAUUCAUUCCCCAUUUCUUCGGCGGGUGUAAAACCAACGUGAGCGUCCAGUCCUUUCUACAACAUGUUUUGGGGUGGUCGUUAAAAUUUGCUCUGUGUCAUGGGGGAUAUUUUCACUCACAUUUUGCCAAAUGAUCUUGCAGUGGCUCCAGCCCACAUUUGUAUUCUCAUGUAUUGCAGAAAUACUAACGAAGCAGCUGUUUGAUUAUUUUUUUUCCCCCUUUUCUUGGAUUAAUUGAGAAUGUUUUGUGGCUGUUUAAAGAUUGGGGGGGGAAUAAUAUCGGUGUGAAACACAACCAAGAACAUCCUUGCACUGUACGUGGCCCAUAGGGCCUCACGUGCCCAAUGGAAGAUUUGCAGGGACAGAAAUGACAGCAUGAGGUCGGACAGGAGCAGGAAUAUCACCUGAUCUGCUGGGAGCUUCUUGAUGGACAGAUUUUGUCCUGAUGCUUGAGGUUUUUAUUUUGGGGUGCUUUCUCCGCAGAGCCCAUUGUGGGUGGCUGCUAGUUUGGUGGUGAUCUCGACACUCCAUGAGGUUGCGUUGGUGCUUCCUGAUGUCUCCCCAUCUAUCCAUCACCAAGAGAGCAAGAAACCUGAAGCGCAGAGAGUAGCUUCUCCUGCUGUGAUGCUCCACGCUUUUCCUGGCCAGCCAAGAGUAAUGCUUGAGUCUUGAGGGAAGUUCAUUCAGAAUUGCCUGUUGCUGUUUUAUUCACUCCCAAUCCUCCAAGCCCACAGGCAGCAUCCUUUGAGGCGCUUAUUUGCUGGAGUGGAGGCUGGAAAGGAAAACCACAACCACAGCAGAGCCUGGAUAUGGGAAGCUGCUAGCAGGACCCAUCUUGAGGACGGUCGCUGUGUGUGCCUUCCUCCAUCCUCCUCCUCCUCCCAGCAGCUGGUGACGUGGAGCAGCACAGAGCAAGCCUGGCAUUGGGCUGUAAGGACAGCAGGAGCACUUCAGGGAUGGGACACAGCACCAUGCCACACUGGUGGAGAACACGAAGCUGGAAGCUGGAAGAGGGAAAAAAUCAACAGCAGCAGAAGAAAAGAAAGGAAACGAAAGUCUCCAAACUCAGGAAAUCCGUGUUAAUUGCUUACAAAUGUCUCCAUCUCAAAAAUUAUCCAAUUGAUGUUGUCGUGCUUUUUUUUUGACAGCCUGUCUGUUAUAUAUAUUUUUUAAAUAUUCAUGCACCGAAAUCUAAUUACUAGGCAAAUUUAAUGAUAAUGAAAUGAAGGCACUUUAGCAGAAAGCACGGGGCCUUGUUAAUAUUUUCUCAAUCUCUGUCUUGUUCGUGUUUUUAAAGCAUUUUUUUUGUUUGUUUUCACCACCGCCUCUCUUGCAGUA